rnacentral:rRNA from 1 species
UACGUAGGGGGCAAGCGUUGUCCGGAUUUAUUGGGCGUAAAGAGCUCGUAGGCGGUCUGUCGCGUCGGCUGUGAAAUCCCGAGGCUCAACCUCGGGUCUGCAGUCGAUACGGGCAAACUAGAGUAUUGCAGGGGAGACUGGAAUUCCUGGUGUAGCGGUGAAAUGCGCAGAUAUCAGGAGGAACACCGGUGGCGAAGGCGGUUCUCUGGGCAUUACCUGACGCUGAGGAGCGAAAGUGUGGGGAGCGAACAGG